AUGAAAUUGGUCAAAACUUGCUUGCGCAAUCUCCUCAACGAUGACAACUUGAGUGAUGAUGUUAUUUGUUAUGUGGAGAAGGAACAAAUGAAAAAGGUCACCAAUGAUCAAGUGGUUGAGUAUUUCAUGGCUCGAAGGAAGAGAAUGUACUAA
rnacentral:rRNA from 1 species